rnacentral:rRNA from 1 species
CAGAAGGGGAUAACACUUGGAAACAGGUGCUAAUACCGUAUAACACUAUUUUCCGCAUGGAAGAAAGUUGAAAGGCGCUUUUGCGUCACUGAUGGAUGGACCCACGGUGCAUUAGCUAGUUGGUGAGGUAACGGCUCACCAAGGCCACGAUGCAUAGCCGACCUGAGAGGGUGAUCGGCCACACUGGGACUGAGACACGGCCCAGACUCCUACGGGAGGCAGCAGUAGGGAAUCUUCGGCAAUGGACGAAAGUCUGACCGAGCAACGCCGCGUGAGUGAAGAAGGUUUUCGGAUCGUAAAACUCUGUUGUUAGAGAAGAACAAGGAUGAGAGUAAAAUGUUCAUCCCUUGACGGUAUCUAACCAGAAAGCCACGGCUAACUACGUGCCAGCAGCCGCGGUAAUACGUAGGUGGCAAGCGUUGUCCGGAUUUAUUGGGCGUAAAGCGAGCGCAGGCGGUUUCUUAAGUCUGAUGUGAAAGCCCCCGGCUCAACCGGGGAGGGUCAUUGGAAACUGGGAGACUUGAGUGCAGAAGAGGAGAGUGGAAUUCCAUGUGUAGCGGUGAAAUGCGUAGAUAUAUGGAGGAACACCAGCGGCGAAGGCGGCUCUCUGGUCUGUAACUGACGCUGAGGCUCGAAAGCGUGGGGAGCGAACAGGAUUAGAUACCCUGGUAGUCCACGCCGUAAACGAUGAGUGCUAAGUGUUGGAGGGUUUCCGCCCUUCAGUGCUGCAG